rfam:Otolemur garnettii contig116777, whole genome shotgun sequence.
UGGAGGCUACAUGUUCAGGGAUAUUUCUAUAGUUCCUUAUUAGAGAAGGUUCUCUGCACACACACAGAGCAACAGAGACCACGAGGAGGAGACGGGGCAUGGCCCUGAUCAGGAAGCUGCUCCUGGUGUUGCUUUGCCCUUUGCAGCCGAUGACCCUUCUCUCCUUUCAGGAGAGGUAGGGGGUGGG